GCGCCUCUAGCUCAGUUGGUAGAGCAUUCGACUCUUAAUCGACAGGUCCAGGGUUCGAAUCCCUGGAGGCGCACCA
rnacentral:tRNA from 1 species